rnacentral:sRNA from 1 species
CGGGAGCCGGAAGUAUGGGCGCUGAGUGGGAGCUGGGGGCCGAGGCUGGCGGGUCGCUGCUGCUGUGCGCCGCGCUGCUGGCGGCGGGGUGCGCCCUGGGCCUGCGCCUGGGCCGCGGGCGGGGGGCGGCGGACCGCGGGGUGCUCAUCUGGCUCUGCUACGACGCGCUGGUGCACUUCGCGCUGGGAAAGAAUAUGGCAAAGCUGAUGCAAGAUGGGUUUAUUUCGAUCCAACCAUUGUGUCUGUGGAAAUUCUGACCGUCGCCCUGGAUGGGUCUCUGGCAUUGUUCCUCAUUUAUGCCAUAGUCAAAGAAAAAUAUUACCGGCAUUUCCUGCAGAUCACCCUGUGCGUGUGCGAGUUGUAUGGCUGCUGGAUGACCUUCCUCCCAGAGUGGCUCACCAGAAGCCCCAACCUCAACACCAGCAACUGGCUCUACUGUUGGCUUUACCUGUUUUUCUUUAACGGUGUGUGGGUUCUGAUCCCAGGACUGCUACUGUGGCAGUCAUGGGUAGAACUCAAGAAAAUGCAUCAGAAAGAAAUCAGUUCAGUGAAAAAGUUUCAGUGAACUUUCAAAACCAUAAAUACCAUUAUCUAACUUCAUGAGCCAGAAUGAAUCAAAUCUUUUUGUUUGGCCAAAAUGUAAUACAUUCCAGUCUACACUUUGUUUUUGUAUUGUUGCUCCUGAACAACCUGUUUAAAAUUGGUUUUAAGGCGACCAGUUUUCGAUGUGUUGUUGUUCAAUUAAAUGGUGAUAUAGGGAAAAGAGAACAAAUUUGAAUUUGUAAUAAUAAAAUGUUUAUACAUUU